rnacentral:siRNA from 1 species
UGGUUUAGGGUUUGCUUCGAG